rnacentral:rRNA from 1 species
UACGAAGGGGGCUAGCGUUGUUCGGAAUUACUGGGCGUAAAGGGCGCGUAGGCGGCCCGCUAAGUCGAACGUGAAAUCCCUCGGCUCAACCGAGGAACUGCAUCCGAUACUGGCGGGCUUGAAUCCGGGAGAGGGAUGUGGAAUUCCAGGUGUAGCGGUGAAAUGCGUAGAUAUCUGAAGGAACACCGGUGGCGAAGGCGGCAUCCUGGACCGGUAUUGACGCUGAGGCGCGAAAGCUAGGG